UAUUAAGUAUAUAAGAGUAUAUGAUGGAUGUCUAGGUUUCUAUAAGCGAUGAAAGACGUGAUAAGCUGCGAUAAGCUUCGUGUAGAUGCAAACAAUCUAUAAUACGGAGAUUUCUGAAUGGGGCAACCCGAUCCUUUGGAUCUUAUAGCAUACCCGGUGAACUGAAACAUCUAAGUAACCGGAGGAAAAGAAAACAAUAGUGAUUUCCAUAGUAGUGGCGAGCGAACUGGAAAAAGCCCAAACUGUGUUUGUUUUUGCAAAUACAGGGUUGUAGGACUUUUAUAAUUUUAAUUAAUCUUAGUCAAAUAUAUUGGAAAAUUUAACCAAAGAGGGUGAUAGUCCCGUAGAUAAAAAGAUUAUGAUAAAGAAAAGUAUCCUGAGUACCACGGAACAUGUGUAAUUUUGUGGGAAUCUGCCAGAACCAUCUGGUAAGGCUAAAUAUAAAUAGAAAACCGAUAGUGAACUAGUACCGUGAGGGAAAGAUGAAAAGUAUUCUGAAUAAGAAAGUGAAAUAGAUCCUGAAAUCAUAUAUUUACAAGCGGUAGAAGUCUUCGGACGACUGCGUGCCUUUUGCAUAAUGAGCCUACGAGUUACUCUUAUCUAGCAAGGUUAAGUUAAAUUAACGGAGCCAAAGCGAAAGCGAGUCUUAACAGGGCGUAUAGUUAGAUGAGGUAGACGCGAAACCAAGUGAUCUACCCAUGACCAGGUUGAAGCUGUAGUAACAUACAGUGAAGGACCGAACCAGUUGACGUUGAAAAGUCUUUGGAUGAGUUGUGGGUAGGGGUGAAAGGCUAAUCAAACUUGGAAAUAGCUCGUUCUCCCCGAAAUGCAUUUAGGUGCAGCCUCGGGAUUAUUAUCGUAGAGGUAGAGAUACUGGUAAGGCUAGGGGGCUUCACCGCCUACCAAACUUUGUCAAACUCCGAAUACUACGAUAUUUGCCCGGGAGUGAGGGCAUGGGUGCUAAGGUCCAUGUCCGAGAGGGAAAGAACCCAGACCAUCAGUUAAGGUCCCAAAAUAUAUGCUAAGUUGAUUUAACGAGGUUCAAUUGCAUUGACAGCUAGGAUGUUGGCUUGGAAGCAGCCAUUCAUUUAAAGAGUGCGUAACAGCUCACUAGUCGAGCGAUUGAGCAUGGAUGAUAAUCGGGCAUAAGCAUAUUACCGAAACUAUGGAUUUAUGGUAGGGGAGCGUUUUAGUUGUGCUGAAGUUACUUCGUGAGAAGUAGUGGAACGGCUAAAAAUGAAAAUGUAGGCAUAAGUAACGAAAAAUAGAUUAUAAAUCUAUUCGCCAAAUAACUAAGGUUUCCUGUUCAACGCUAAACGGAGCAGGGUUAGUCGGGACCUAAGGCAAACCCAAAUGGGGUAGUCGAUGGAUAUCAGGUUAAUAUUCCUGAACUAGUUAGAGAGGACGGAGAGAUGAGCUUUAUACGUACAGACGGAAUUGUACGUCAUACCUAGUAGAUUUCGAACGGGAAUAAGGUGAUUUUCUUCCAAGAAAAGCCUCUAACAUUAAACUCGUACUGUAAACCGACACAGGUAGUUAAGGAGAGAAUCCUAAGGCGAUCGAGAUAGUCAUAGCUAAGGAACUAGGCAAAAUAGUCCUGUAACUUCGGGAGAAAGGACGCCCUCUUAUGAGGGUCGCAGUUAAUAGGCCCAGGCGACUGUUUAUCAAAAACACAUGACUUUGCUAAAUUGAAAGAUGAUGUAUAAGGUCUGACACCUGCCCGGUGCCGGAAGGUUAAAAGGAGAUGUUAUCCUCGGAGAAGCAUUGAAUUGAAGCCCCGGUAAACGGCGGCCGUAACUAUAACGGUCCUAAGGUAGCGAAAUUCCUUGUCGGGUAAGUUCCGACCUGCACGAAUGGUGCAACGAUCUGGGCACUGUCUCAGCUAUGUCCUCGGUGAAAUUGUAGUAUCGGUGAAGAUGCCGAUUACCCGCAACGGGACGGAAAGACCCCGUGAACCUUUACUAUAGCUUAACGUUGAUAUUGAAUAUUUAGUGUGUAGGAUAGGUGGGAAACUUUGAAGCGGCCUCGUCAGGGGUUGUGGAGUUGUUCUUGAAAUACCACCCUCUAAUUAUUUGAUAUCUAAUCUUAUUGAGACAGCGUUUGGUGGGUAGUUUGACUGGGGUGGUCGCCUCCAAAAGAGUAACGGAGGCUUCUAAAGGUACCCUCAGCACGUUUGGUAACCGUGCGUAGAGUAUAAUGGUAUAAGGGUGCUUGACUGCAAGACCUACAAGUCGAGCAGGUACGAAAGUAGAGCAUAGUGAUCCGGUGGUUCCGCAUGGAAGGGCCAUCGCUCAAAGGAUAAAAGGUACUCCGGGGAUAACAGGCUUAUCACUCCCAAGAGCUCACAUCGACGGAGUGGUUUGGCACCUCGAUGUCGGCUCGUCACAUCCUGGGGCUGGAGAAGGUCCCAAGGGUUGGGCUGUUCGCCCAUUAAAGUGGCACGCGAGCUGGGUUCAGAACGUCGUGAGACAGUUCGGUCCCUAUCUGUUGUGGGCGUUAGAAAUUUGAGAGAACCUGUCCCUAGUACGAGAGGACCGGGAUGGACGAACCUCUGGUGUAUUUGUUGUGGCGCCAGCUGCAUUGCAAAGUAGCUACGUUCGGUUGAGAUAAGCGCUGAAAGCAUCUAAGCGCGAAACUCUUCUCGAGAUGAGAUUUCUUUUAAGGAUCGUCAAAGACUAUGACGUUGAUAGGUUGCAGAUGUAAAUGCAGUAAUGUAUGAGUCGAGCAAUACUAAUUAUCCGUAAACUUAAUAAA
rnacentral:rRNA from 1 species